UACAGAGGGUGCAAGCGUUAAUCGGAAUUACUGGGCGUAAAGGGCGCGUAGGUGGAGAUAUAAGUUAGGUGUGAAAACCCUGGGCUUAACCUAGGGCGUGCAUUUGAUACUGUAUUUCUGGAGUACUGUAGAGGUAAGUGGAAUUUCCGGUGUAGCGGUGAAAUGCGUAGAUAUCGGGAAGAACACCAGUGGCGAAGGCGACUUACUGGACAGAUACUGACACUGAGGCGCGAAAGCGUGGGAAGCAAACAGG
rnacentral:rRNA from 1 species